rfam:Felis catus isolate Cinnamon breed Abyssinian chromosome A1, whole genome shotgun sequence.
GCCUGGGUGGCUCAGUUGGUUAAGCGUCUGACUGCAGCUCAGGUCACGAUCUCAAGGUCCGUGAGUUGGAACCCCACGUCGGGCU